GACCGGGGGCGACAGCAAUAUGAAGGUCAGGCUGAAGACCUUACCCGAUUAGCUGAGAGGUGGUGCAUGGCCGUCGUCAGUUCGUACUGUGAAGCAUCCUGUUAAGUCAGGCAACGAGCGAGACCCACGUCCACAGUUGCCAGCAUACCCUCCGGGGUGAUGGGUACACUGUGGAGACCGCCGCUGCUAAAGCGGAGGAAGGAGUGGGCAACGGUAGGUCAGUAUGCCCCGAAUCUCCCGGGCUACACGCGGGCUACAAUGGUUGGUACAAUGGGCAUCUACCCCGAAAGGGGAAGGAAAUCUCUUAAAGCCAAUCGUAGUUCGGAUUGAGGGCUGCAACUCGCCCUCAUGAAGCUGGAAUCCGUAGUAAUCGCGUUUCAACAGAACGCGGUGAAUACGUCCCUGCUCCUU
rnacentral:rRNA from 1 species